GUCAUCACAUGAAAUAAUUAUCAAUUCUGUUGUGGACUAAAUAUUUUGAAUGAAACGAACAGUUCACUCCGGAUUCUACCGGAGUACCUAUUUCAGCAAGCCCCUGAUCUUUCUGCAGAAUAAUCUGAGAAUAAUUUCGUUCACUUUUUCGCCAUGGUCGCGUUUCUUCCAUCGUGGUUGGCAGCAUUUCAAGGUUCGGUGUGGUGCUACAAAUCCUUACUCGAAUCGUUGGACGAUGUAAACCAUAUUAUUUGGUUCAACGCUGUGCAUAUCUCCAACAUGUUCAUCCAAUUUUACAAAUGGUUGUUGGCUUCUACAGUCCUCAAGGAUUUUACAUGACUUAUCAAUAAUGUGUUAUGUCAUCGUGCCUAUCCCUCGUGUAGUUUAAAUCGUGUUGAUUCUAUGCUCCUUCUUGCAAUGAAACUGCCGUUACAUUCGAAAAUUUUCAAUUGCUUCUUCGGCAUUUCAUGUUUUGAAUCAAAUCUCCUCGCUUAAGUGACACAGAUGGAGCGACUCGUUUGGCAUCGGUCUCGUUUCUAGAUUAGCCUCCUCCCUCGUAAUUCAAGCGAAAUGGAGCACGCAAGAGCCCGAAACUACGAGUUGCUCGAGGCAAAAUGGAGCCUAAAAGUCAUGUUGUUACAUGCCUGUGUGCUGCCUAAACAAAUAAAUCAAUAACUACGCGUUUUAUGAUCCUACCUGAACGAGCGUAUCCAGAAUCAGUCUAAGUGCGUCAGCCGUUUCCAAAUCUCCUUUUAUAUUUUUUCAUCAGAAAACAAAACAGCAUUCGGAAAUAAAAUGUUGUGAGUAAGAGUAUUUCGACGUUGAACUGAAAUAAAUGGUACGAUGCUUUGGUCACGAUGCUUCAAAA